ACUCUAAGACCCUGCUGCAAGGCACAGCAUGCAACCCGGAACAAGCUGAUUUUGGACACAGAUGUAUUUUGGACACAAGAGUUCAUAAAAAGAAUACUGAUCUUUUGGGUAUUAGAAUCUCAGAACAAAGGGAGACACUGACUGCUUAAAAACAGCAAUGGAUAAGGAAAGAGAAGUAAUUUCUAGAAACCCAGAACAAAAGGAAUUCAAAUGUGAAAGCUACAAAGAGGGCAAAAAUGUACUAAAGGACCAGUUUUGAAAGAGGUCAGAUCUUCACAUCAUUUAGUCUUACAGAAUUAUCGAUGUCUUGCCUGGUGUUCUGAAUGCACAUAAGCCAUUUUUCUUUUCACUGGGACUGCUGAGCUAUUGUCUUGCUUUCAGCCCUCCUCCCCAUACGGAGUAGAUUGCUCCAUGAAGAUACAAAUCUAAUCCACAUUCUUGCAGUCGACUCAGAAGCAUGCACAAUGUCAUUUUAUUCCUGAUGCAGUCUAUGAUAACCAUCAGGGCUCUAUUAAAAUUACUUUGUAAGAAAAUGGGCACCUCUGCUGUAACAUUACAUGAGAUAAGACGUCUUGAAGAGAAAGAAGAAAAAGAGGAAUCUGUCUUGGCCAUGCUGGGCAUCAUUGGUACUGUGCUCAAUCUGUUUGUGAUUGUGUUUGUGUACAUAUACACCACUCUGUGAAGCAGAGGCACUCUUACAGGACCAGCUGGGGAAAAAAUAUCACAGCCUAUACUAGACAAGAACGAUUUCAAAGAAGCAGGAAUUCAGACUGUUGAACAGCCAGGCUCCCCAGUGAGGCUGCAGCAAGAAUCAUGGGAAUAUCAAUUAAACACCGAUGGAAACCCCUGGUAAUAAGACACUGAGGAGAAGCUAUUAACAACUACAUCUAACUACAAAAUGAAAAACAAAAUACUUGUGGUGAAAAAUGGAAGGAUAUAAAACCGAAUGAAGAUAAAAUAACCUCUCCCUCUCUAUAUUUAUAUUUUUUGUUAUCCUGGGAACAUUACCUUCACCUUCUUUUGUGCCUGGAAGGGAAAACAAACAUGCCAAUGGAAUAUUUUGGAAUAUACAAGUAAAAAAAAAAAAAAAAAAA